rnacentral:lncRNA from 1 species
UGAUAACUGACAUCACGCCAACCGUGGUGCCAUACUGAGCAUUAUAGAGGACAGUGAUCUGGUAACAGAUAGUGUCUUAUGUGAUUUGUUGUUUGUGGGUGUACAAAUUUCAUUCUUUAAUAUCAUUAACCACUCUCUGAGAGCAGUCUCAGAAUCUUUCUUGAUAUCAGUAACCUCGAAAGGGUUGGACUAUGAAGCACAAAGAGAAGAAACACCUGGAGAAGAAGUGCUUACAACGGCCUGCAAAAAAGUCAAAAUGUACAAGAGGAAAGUUGGAUUUCCAAGAUGUUCUGCCAAGUAAGGCCAAGGUACUGGCCCCAACUCAAGAGCACCAAGUGACAGAUACUUCUUCCUCAUCCUCGGAGAACUUCCCCUGUGGAGGCAAAUUCCUGGAUACUUCUUCUUCAUCGUUGGAGGACUUCCCCUAUGGAGGCAAAUUCCUGGCUGCAGGUAUGGAGGCACUAUUGACCAAGGUCAGAAGGCAGGGUAGGGUCUAGGCACAUCCCAGAAUUGAGACAAAUGUUUCUGAACAUAAGCUGAUACAAGGCUGCUCAGUCAGGAAGAACGUGAAAAUAAUCCACAGUAGAAACAGCAAAUGUCAAAG